GAUGAAGAACGCAGCGAAACGCGAUAGUUAAUGUGAAUUGCAGAAUUCAGUGAAUCAUCGAGUCUUUGAACGCACAUUGCGCCCGUCAGUAUUCUGGCGGGCAUGCCUGUUCGAGCGUCAUUACGCCCCUCAAGUCCCCUGUGGACUUGGUGUUGGGGAUCGGCGAGGCUGGUUUUCCAGCACAGCCGUCCCUUAAAUUAAUUGGCGGUCUCGCCGUGGCCCUCCUCUGCGCAGUAGUAAAACACUCGCAACAGGAGCCCGGCGCGGUCCACUGCCGUAAAACCCCCCAACUUUUUAUAGUUGACCUCGAAUCAGGUAGGACUACCCGCUGAACUUAAGCAUAUCAAUAAGCGGAGGA
rnacentral:misc_RNA from 1 species